CAGUCGCCGCGGGAAUACGUAGGUGGCAAGCGUUGUCCGGAAUUAUUGGGCGUAAAGCGCGCGCAGGUGGUUUAAUAAGUCUGAUGUGAAAGCCCACGGCUCAACCGUGGAGGGUCAUUGGAAACUGUUAAACUUGAGUGCAGGAGAGAAAAGUGGAAUUCCUAGUGUAGCGGUGAAAUGCGUAGAGAUUAGGAGGAACACCAGUGGCGAAGGCGGCUUUUUGGCCUGUAACUGACACUGAGGCGCGAAAGCGUGGGGAGCAAACAGGAUUAGAUACCCCGGUAGUCCCUGUCUCUUAUAC
rnacentral:rRNA from 1 species